GUUUACUUCCUUUCACAUCUGGCAGUUCGUUAACAAUCAACCCAGAUCAUGGAUCUGCAGAUCACCUAAAAGAAUGGUAUGAAUCUGUUGAAUUCCAACGACAUCACCUUCAAUCCAUUACCACCCAGCAGACAUACAUCAAUACACCCACAAAACUAUUGAGUCAAAUCAAAGAUGAAAAUCUUGGCCAUGGAGACAAGUCGGACUAUUUCAAUGUGCAAGCAACUGUACUGUUUUUCAAGAAAGAUAAUGCUCUUUACGAA